CUCCAAUUUUGCUUUUCUUUGUGUUCGAGCACAGAGAGUGGUAAUGUGAGGUAGAUAUUGUUCUGUCUCCUGUUGGAGAAAAUUCCUGUGAUGUUUUUCCUGCUCAUGCAGCUGCUGGGUUUCCAUGGCCACCCUUUAGGACAGCAGAGCCUCUGAGGACAGCCUGGGAACUGCCUUCCUGCCAUCACCUUGAUUGGUGACCCAGAGGAGAGUACCAGCCACUGUGUCAGCAAGAUAAAACAAAUAAAGAAAACUCAUUUUGAAUAAACCAGGGUGGAAAAUUGAAAAUGUUCACCUUAACUGCUUUUUCAUGCUUGAUACAAUUAAGGAGCCAUUCUUCCUGACAACAUAAUCAAGAAAGAACUGGAAUGGCCUUCUACUUCAUGAUCUACUCUCCUGAAGCCUCUGUAACAUGUGUCAUUUCAGAGAACAUAAUUAAUGUAUGAAACGGAUACUUUCCAAGGAGCAAUGUGUGGGCUCUUAGUAGGUAAGAGGAACAGGGAGAGGCAAGUAACCAGAGGGGGGCACUUCUCCAGAAGUAGAAUCUUACUUCCCUUUGCUUUGUCUAAGACAUUUGAAAAGAAUUGCCUUAAACAAUCAUUUAUUAAUUCACUUCUUCAAGGAAAUUUGUCAUUCCUUUUCAUAUGUAAUGAAAGAAAUGUGUUUCUUUCUAUAGUAUUAAGGCCUGUGUUAAAGUUCUACAACUUAAAAAGAUUAAUAAAGCUGAGAGCAGAAUGAA